rnacentral:rRNA from 1 species
AUGGCAAAAAUUAGAGUGGAUGGUGUAGUCGCACGUGAUCUCAAUGAAGGUACAUCUAGUGCAGUUUGCAGGGAUUCAGCCGGAACAUAUAUGGGAUCUUCAGUCAUCCGGACUAGGGGAAUUUCUGACCCAGCCACUCUGGAGGCAUUAGCGUGUCAUGAAGCUCUGGUGCUAGCCUCGGAUCUUGCACUAUCACAUGUGCUGGUGGCCUCGGACUGCCAAGGUGUGAUUCAUGAUAUCAAGAACAAUACAGGAGGAGUUUAUGCAAGUAUCAUAAAAGAGAUUUUGGAAACAUCUAGGAAUUUUCAGCAUUGUUCCUUCAUCUUCGAAGGGCGAGAGUCUAAUUUCGAGGCACAUAGCCUCGCUAAACAUGCUUUUGGUCUGGAGUUCGGGCGCCAUGUGUGGCUCUUAAACCCGCCGGACUUACAUUGUAUCCCCAUGAACUUGUUUACUCAAUAA